CCCGAAAGUCUACAUCUUCUAGA
rnacentral:siRNA from 1 species